CAGAGAUCACCUCUCUUCUGCUAGCUGGUCAACGGUGCUCUAAGGCUUGUAAAGGCCACCAGACUCACAAAGACUCAGGGAAAGCAACAUGAACUGGCCCUUCACCCUCUGACCGUCAAUCAUCCGAUAGCACAGUGAUAAGAGUUCUGAAGUUGCCAUGGCAACCCCGCCUCAGCGCAGCAUGGGAUGGUUUUGUCCCAGCGUCAGUUUGGCAAGUGAUUUCAGGGCUUGCAUCAGAGAUCCAACGAAAGCUAUUGCAAAGAGACUCGGAGAUAUGUUACAUAAAUUUGUGCAACACCGAUGGAGUGAACCAGAAAGUCAGACGGGCAUGACAACUGAGUUGGCAAAAAAGUGUUCCUAUAAGGCGGGAGUUUUCUACUACAGAGUACUUGAAUCCACCGCCAAAUCAGAGAAGAAGAGGCU